GGGAUGUUCCUCCGGCCCAGUACUCCUCAGCUCUCAGCUCUCUUCACUUCCAGUUUAACAACUUGUUGUGACCGAGUGGUGACACCGAUGUAUUGGGCCUUUUUGACGUCUGUUUGCGGAGGACUAAUAGUUUCCCCCUGGGGAAUCUUUAAAGUUGGGUUGAAUUUAGAGCGUUUCCCCCAUUUCCCUGGUCCUCCUUUGAAACCACUUAACACACACGGUACACGUGAUGCAUUGCGUUUUUUGGCUAAAGAAAGCAGAGCACAGCAGGGAUUCUCUGUGAGAUAUACAGCUACUUGAUUUUGUUACUGACAGCAUGGGGUGAGGUGUGUUUACGAGAGAUCUGCUUCCCUUAAUACUAAACGGUGUAAAAACAACUGGAAAAAAACAACUAUAUAUAUAUCCACACAAAUUAUCACUGACACGUUUCCAAGGUGUCCUUUAGUGACAAUACAACACUCGCAACUCACGCUUGGAUGUUCAACAACUAACGCGCAAAGAAAGAAAUGACAAAACAACCAUACAAACAGCAUUUUUGUUGUGUUAUUUAUGCUUGCCCAGGAGUCCAGGAGUUGGCCAAAUGAUGCUUGACUGUAAUCCUCUUGCUGUUUUUAUUUCUAUCCCAGUGAUGUCACCAAUAUUGUAACGGAGCUUGCUAUGAGCACCACAGCUAUCGCCCCGAUCAUCCAGCACUAUGGAGCGAUGUGCAUCAAAGGCAGCUAACAUCCAUGCGCACAAACAUACACCAAGACAAACUUCAUUCACAAAACAGCUGAACAAUCUUCCCAGGCCUCAUCAUGUGAUCCCGUAUUGUUAGUGUGAGAAUGAGGCACAGCUACUCGGAUCGAGCACGCAGCAGCAAAAAGAAAAAAGAGGCUAACAAGCAACAGGAUGUCAAUUACAUGGCAGCAGUGAAAUCCACACUUCAUGUCGGCUUAAAGCUG
ensembl:lncRNA